rnacentral:rRNA from 1 species
CCUACGGGAGGCAGCAGUGGGGAAUAUUGCACAAUGGGGGAAACCCUGAUGCAGCAACACCGCGUGAAUGUUAAGCCCUUCGGGGUGUAACGUUCUGUCAAUAGGGACGAAUUUUGACUGUACCUAUAAAGGAAGCACCGGCUAACUCCGUGCCAGCAGCCGCGGUAAUACGGGGGGUGCAAGCGUUGUCCGGAAUCAUUGGGCGUAAAGCGUUCGUAGGCGGCAAGGUAAGUCUGAUGUUAAAGCCCGGGGCUCAACUCCGGUUCGGCAUUGGAUACUAUCUAGCUAGAAUGUGGUAGAGGUAAAGGGAAUUCCUGGGGUAGCGGUGAAAUGCGCAGAGAUCAGGAGGAACAGCGGUGGCGAAAGCGCUUUACUGGACCAUUAUUGACGCGGAGGAACGAAAGCCAGGGGAGCAAAUGGGAUUAGAUACCCGAGUAGUC